ACGAACGCUGGCGGCGUGCUUAACACAUGCAAGUCGAACGGUGAAGCGCCUUCCUUUUUGGUGGGUGUGGAUGAGUGGCGGACGGGUGAGUAACACGUGAGUAACCUGCCCCCUUCUUCUGGAUAACCGCAUGAAAGUGUGGCUAAUACGGGAUAUUCUGGGUCUGUCGCAUGAUGGGUCUGGGAAAGAUAUUGUUUCGGUGGGGGAUGGGCUCGCGGCCUAUCAGCUUGUUGGUGGGGUGAUGGCCUACCAAGGCGGUGACGGGUAGCCGGCCUGAGAGGGUGGACGGUCACACUGGGACUGAGACACGGCCCAGACUCCUACGGGAGGCAGCAGUGGGGAAUAUUGCACAAUGGGCGCAAGCCUGAUGCAGCGACGCCGCGGGAGGGAUGGAGGCCUUCGGGUUGUGAACCUCUUUCGCCAGUGAAGCAGGCCUGCCUCGUUUGUGGGUGGGUUGACGGUAGCUGGAUAAGAAGCGCCGGCUAACUACGUG
rnacentral:rRNA from 1 species